CCUUAGAAUCAAUUUAUUCAACUCACUCAUUUAGACAGUUAUUUGCUGCCACCUAUUGGCGGUUGUAGUUUCAUAUUUUAAAAAGUAACG